UACAGAGGUCUCAAGCGUUGUUCGGAUUCAUUGGGCGUAAAGGGUGCGUAGGCGGCGCGGUAAGUCGGGUGUGAAAUCCUGGAGCUCAACUCCAGAACUGCCUUCGAUACUGGAAAGCUCGAGUCCGGGAGAGGUGAGUGGAACUGCGAGUGUAGAGGUGAAAUUCGUAGAUAUUGCAAGAACACCAGUGGCGAAGGCGGCUCACUGGCCCGGUACUGACGCUGAGGUGCGAAAGGCGUGGGGAGCAAACAGG
rnacentral:rRNA from 1 species